rnacentral:rRNA from 1 species
AUAAAAAGUAGGAUCUGCCCGAUGUGGGAUGAAUGGCUGCAGUAUUUUGACUGUACAAAGGUAGCAUAAUCAUUUGUUCUUUAAUUGAGGACUGGUAUGAAGGAUUUAACGUUGACUAAUUUGUCUUUUGAAUAGUAUUUUAAUUUAAUUUUUCUGUGAGGAAGCGGAGAUGUGUAAUGAAGACAAGAAGACCCUAUGAAAGUUUAUAAUUGUUUAUUUUAUUAAUGAUUAGUUGAAUUAUUUAGUUAUUGGGUUGGGGCGAUUGUUUAGGUAAACAUAGAUGUGGUUAUUCUUUAAUGGAGAAUUAUGAUCUUUUAAUUUUUUGAAUAAGUUACUCUAGGGAUAACAGCAUAAUUCAUUUUGAUAGUUCUUAUUGGUAAUUG